UGGUUGGCUGAUUGUAGGAAAGGGCAUUGAAACAGAGGGGAUUAGGGUAUUGAGCUAUAUUAAAGAACAAUUGAAGAUGUUGAAUGUUAAAGAAAAAAAGUCCAGUCUUCAGAAAGACAGAGAAGGUUACUAAAAAGUUAACAGGAAGGGAUGAUGCCAUUAACAUAAAGGUUUGUUUGUUUAUUUGUUUCAGGAGGAAAUGGGGAAGGGAGACAUCUAGAAAUGUCACUAAAGACAAAAGAUUAUACUCCCCCUAUUUUCUGCAUGAAGGAAUACAGUCUCACAAAUAAACCAUCUCUUUUUGAGAUGUGGUGGAGAAACAACAUUCUCAGCUGUUCUUGCUCUUUUGCCUUCUGCUGACUUGUUGCAGAUGGAUACAGAGACUGGAAGCUACAGUUCAAGGUGACAGAGCCCAAAAAAGGUAGAGCUGGGGUCCUCCAACCACUGUUUGAAUGACAACUUCCUGCUUGAAAAUUUAUGUAAAUGCAAAGGACCCAGAAUAACCAAAAGAAUCUUGAAAGAGAAGUAAACAGUUGGAGGAAGCCACAUUUCAUGAUUUUGGAACUCACCACAAAGCUACCACAAUCAAGACACCGUGGUAUAAGAAUGUGCAAAUAGGGUACUGGAUUAGAAUUAGGAAUCAAGAAAUAAAGCCUUACAUCUCCAGGCUCCAUGAGCAGAAGAGCAGAGGAACAGAAGAGCUGCAGAGUAGCAGAGCAGUGAGGCAGAGAAGAAGGGAAGAGAAGGAGCGUCUGAAUGUCGAGAGGAGUUUGGCUGGGGACAGUCAGGGAGGAAAUCAGCCGCGGGAUGGCCAAACUCCAGGGGAAGAUUAUCUUGCCACUCCAUCCUCUUUCUAGCUCCCCAUCCAUCCUGCUGAGAGCCACUUCCAUCUGGCAAUAAAAUGCCCGGCAUUUGCCAUCC